UUUGGUCUUAUGACAUCAAGAGCUGAAAUCCUUUCGGAAAGUUCUUGAUUGAUGCUGACCGAA
rfam:Stegodyphus mimosarum contig3836, whole genome shotgun sequence.